rnacentral:rRNA from 1 species
GACGAACGCUGGCGGCGUGCUUAACACAUGCAAGUCGAACGAAAGGACGGGAAGAGCUUGCUCUUUCCGGAAUUGAGUGGCAAACGGGUGAGUAACACGUAAACAACCUGCCUUCAGGAUGGGGACAACAGACGGAAACGACUGCUAAUACCGAAUAAGUUCCAAGAGCCGCAUGGCCCAUGGAAGAAAAGGUGGCCUCUACCUGUAAGCUAUCGCCUGAAGAGGGGUUUGCGUCUGAUUAGCUGGUUGGAGGGGUAACGGCCCACCAAGGCGACGAUCAGUAGCCGGUCUGAGAGGAAUGAACGGCCACACUGGAACUGAGACACGGUCCAGACUCCUACGGGAGGCAGCAGUGGGGGAAUCUUCCGGCAAUGGGCGAAAGCCUGACGGAGCAACGCCGCGUGAGUGA